rnacentral:rRNA from 1 species
GACGAACGCUGGCGGCGUGCUUAACACAUGCAAGUCGAACGGAAAGGCCCCCACUUUUUUGGUGGGGGUGCUCGAGUGGCGAACGGGUGAGUAACACGUGGGUGAUCUGCCCUGUACUUCGGGAUAAGCUUGGGAAACUGGGUCUAAUACCGGAUAGGACCAUGGUUUAGUGUCUCAUGGUGGAAAAAUUAUUGUUUUGGUGCAGGAUGAGCUCGCGGCCUAUCAGCUUGUUGGUGGGGUAAUGGCCUACCAAGGCGUCGACGGGUAGCCGGCCUGAGAGGGUGGACGGCCACAGUGGGACUGAGAUACGGCCCAGACUCCUACGGGAGGCAGCAGUGGGGAAUAUUGCACAAUGGGCGCAAGCCUGAUGCAGCGACGCCGCGUGGGGGAUGACGGCCUUCGGGUUGUAAACUCCUUUCGUUAGGGACGAAGCCGCACCUUUUUUGGGUGUGGUGACGGUACCUUUGUUAAGAAGCACCGGCUAACUACGUG